rnacentral:tRNA from 1 species
UCCUUUGUGGCUCAGGCAGUAGAGAAUCUGCUUGCAAUGCAGGUGACCCAGGUUCAAUCCCUGGGUUGGGAA